ACCUGUGUGGCUCAGUCGGUUGAGCGUCUGACUUUGGCUCAGGUCACAAUCUUGUGGUUCACAAGUU
rnacentral:tRNA from 1 species